GACGAACGCUGGCGGCGUGCUUAACACAUGCAAGUCGAACGAUGAAACCUAGCUUGCUAGGUCGAUUAGUGGCGAACGGGUGAGUAACACGUGACUAACCUGCCCCUUUCUCUGGGAUAACGCUCCGAAAGGAGUGCUAAUACCGGAUACUCACACCGAGGCACAUGCCUUGGUGUGGAAAGUUUUUCGGAAAGGGAUGGAGUCGCGGCCUAUCAGCUUGUUGGCGAGGUAACGGCUCACCAAGGCGACGACGGGUAGCCGGCCUGAGAGGGCGACCGGCCACACUGGGACUGAGACACGGCCCAGACUCCUACGGGAGGCAGCAGUGGGGAAUAUUGCACAAUGGGCGCAAGCCUGAUGCAGCGACGCCGCGUGAGGGAUGAAGGUCUUCGGAUUGUAAACCUCUUUCAGUAGGGACGAAGCGAAAGUGACGGUACCUAAAGAAGAAGCACCGGCUAACUACGUGCCAGCAGCCGCCGUAA
rnacentral:rRNA from 1 species